rnacentral:lncRNA from 1 species
UGCCGAUGAGGGUACCACGUAUAACACUCUUAUGUGCUUCCCACACCGACACCGGAGAUAUCUCAUCUGUUCCGUUCUCGGCAAAGUAGUUUUCCAGUGCUUGUGUGAUCUCCCCUCUUACCCCAAGGUCCUGGAGCAGGGAUUCAUUCAGGCGCCACGUCCAUGUUGCGGGUUUAAACAGCGGGGAUUCCAAUUCGACCCUGACUGAGCCGUGGUCCGACCAGGUAGCCGGUUCUAUAGAGGCUGUGCGCAAACGGGAGAGCCCUUCUUGCUUGAUGAACACAUAAUCUAUGCGGGAAUAACGUUUGUGGAUCACCGAGUAAUGCGUGUAGUCCUUGGUAGAGGGGUGAAGCGUCCUCCAACAGUCCACCAAUGCUAGUUCACCUAGCGUUUUGCGGAUGGAUCUAAUGCGAGAUUGUGAGAGGCAACUAUGGCCAGUGGAUGAAUCCAUGAGAGGGUCUAAUGGGACAUUAAAGUCUCCCCCCACUAUCAGUGCUCCCUCCGAGAAUCCAUGCAGUUUGUGUAGUGUCCCGCGAAGGAAUUGUGCUUGCUUAGAAUUGGGGACGUAUAUGGUCGCGAGAGUGUACAUUCUGUCGGCUAUCGUUCCUUUCAGGAAAAGGAAGCGCCCUUGAUCGUCAGCCAAUCUGUCCAGUUCUUGGAAAUCUAGGUUUGCAGCAAGCAGUAUCGCAACCCCCGCCCGACGAGCGGACGGGUGAUUGUUGCAAUAGUAUAAUGGAUGAUGAGCGCUUCGGAGUUUUGGAGCAGCGUUCUCCCGAAAGUGAGUUUCUUGUAGCAUCGCUAUCGAUAUGUGUUUCUGUCGCAGGAUUCUUAGUAGGUGAGAGCGGCGUUCCGGUAUAUUCAAGCCUCUGCAGUUAAGGGUCAUGACGGACAGGGGAGCGCGAUUAUACGCCAUGAUUUUCUCUGCGGCUGUACGCUCCGGCUCCCAGGGGGGGUAUCCAGGCGGGGUGAUCGGCCAGGGAGACAAUGCCAGCUAGUGUGGGCGUACACGUGACUAUGAGGUGUGGUGUCCUAUGCGUCCGUUUCAGUGCUAGUUAUGGGUGGGUAUGCAAGCGUCCCAUGAGCUAUGGGUCUCGUUCAGGAGGUGUCCCCCUUCGUCAUCUGUGUCAGGCCGGAACGUGUGCCGCAGCCGUGAGGGUUGGUGUGAGUGUGGGUGAGUGCUUGUGGGUGUAUUUAAGGGUAGUAUGCUAUUGGUAUCGUUAGUAGGGGAAUGUUGAUUGUGUGGGUGAAGGAUAGAGUGGGAUAUAUAUAAUAAAAUAGGGGGGUGAUCCGAGUGGGUCCCUCCCUUGGGGUAUAUCCCCAGCGGGGUAAAAGGUGGGUGUAACCCCGAGAUCUCCAAAAAGAGGAGAGUCACUUGCGUCUCAAUAGGAGUGGCCAGGUGUCACUCCGAUAACCAGAUCGGUGGGUGAUCGAGCCUGUGGCUCCUUUGAGGAUUCUGCGCAAGUGAGAGUAUAGAGCAGUGGACGGAGUCCAAGCCCGAGUAGGCGUGGUCUGUGUGUCGUGGGUAAGUCGGGUUCUCGUCUAUCUCGCUCCAACCAGUGUCCAGCCCAAGUGUGUAUAGUCGUGGGAGGAGCAAACAAUCAGGGGAUCAAACAGAAUCAUAGCAGGUUAAAUGUUGUGAUCGUAAACAAUAACAGUAUGAGUAUCAGCAACAAUUGGCGGUAACAUUUAUCCACCUUCCCCCCCAACACUCCCCGCCAGGCAGUCUAACCACCCACUCCGCCCCGGGGCAAGCCCCCCAUAACAAUUGUGUCUCCCACUUAUCUUCCAAAAUGUGUCAUGAGAGAUAUAGCGAUCCUAAAUCUGCCCGGGCACCUAUUGUCUGAUCGAUGAGGAUAUCUAGCCAUAAUGUCUCUAUCCUUCCUGGUGUGUGCUAUGUUCGGAGUGAGGUGUGGUAAAUCCCAGGGCAUCUUCCCCAUGAGUCUUAUUAAAAGUAGUUAACUCCCUAAUGUUCUCGUGGGGGUGUUCCAUUUGGCUGGCCCCCUCUAGCCCUCAUGUUCCAGGUAAGUUCCCACACACCCGUCUGUCCCUCUGGUACAGUCUACAUAUUCAGGAGACAUAGCCAAAUCAUCAGCAAUAUUUAGCACAAUAAAUAACAUAGGAGAGAAAGCAAUUAAGCGGUAUAACUUCAAGCAAAGAUACUUAGCAGGUGUGGAUAGUCCUGGAUUCGCUGUUGAUUUCGUGCAUGUUGGUGAUGUCACAGGUAAGUCCAGUCACGGCACUAAUCCAUGCAUAUUCAAGCCAAAGCAGCCGUGGUCGUGUCAGCGCAGGAACAGAGUGUGCCCAGAGCUCCCCCCAAAUCACCCCACCACCCCAAUGCCACAUCAAAGGGCCCCCGAGAACGUUCUCGGAGGGUCAUGAGACCGUGAGGGCAAGGAGAGGCACAACGGGGUCAUUCCUAUAAGUGCACAAGGGGGAGGUCAGUCCAGGUUGUAACAUUGCCAGGUGUGUACUCAGUCUCGGGUAGUCGUUAUUCCCGGCAGGUGGAGUUAUGUUCGUGCAUAUUGUGGGGUAGGAUCAGUCCAUACUCUUGCAGCUUUUCUCAAGUCCACCAUAACCUUGUUCAGUACUGUCCAAUUUCGUGAUGAUAUCAGGGCCGUUGUAUGCGUAUCGGCCGAGCCCCUUAGUUCGGGUCAGGCGGUUUUUUUUUUUUGUUUGUUUGGUUUUUUUUUGCGUUAUGGAUGUGGGGUCCCCGGGGGCAGAUAGGGCAUCAGCACCCGGGCGGAUCAGCGCA